AUUUUUUCAUUGGAUGAGCCUAAUAAGGGUGUGGCCUAACCAACAUGGUUUGUGGGGAAAGAAAGGGGAUUGAUUUAGGUGGCUCUACAGAAAGAAAUAAAAAGCCAAGAAAGAAUGUAAAAAAAUAGACAGUUCUUGCUAUGGAGCUAGGUUACUCUUUCACCCAUUAUGUACUCAAGUUUCUUAAGGCUACAUAAAUGGAAACUGAACAACAGAUGCAACAAUCUGUGGAAACUUGGAUGCACUGUAAAUCUACUGGGAUUAUAUCUGGGAAGACAAUGUUUGCAUUCAGGAUAAGACGAGCCUGGAGCCUAUCCCUUGGAUCUCAGGGCACAAGGUGGAGGACACUGGAGUACCUGGAGGAAACCCCAAAAGAAUGGGGAGAACAUAUAAAUUCCAUGCACCAAGGCUGGAGGCGGGAAUCAAACCCCCAACCCUUGAGGUGUGAGGCAAACGUGGUAACCACUUUUACUUACAGUAUAUCUUUCAGUAAACAUUACAUUACAGCUGUGCAAACUCCAAACAAAAAGUUUCCAGUGGAACUAAUUUCAGAAAAUAGGCCAAAGUUUGAAUUGCAUAUUUUAAUUACAGAUUGAUAGGGUGGCAAGAGAAAGAUCCUCCAUAAUGACUUCCCUUGGGCUGCUCAUUGAAGUUCACAAAAUAACACAACAUUAGAUCUCAUCCUCUGUGCAGUGCGCUGUAACACCAGAGAGGAAUCAUGUUCAGGGUGUGCAAAUGAACAAAACCGCAACUGAGUGCCUGUACCAGCCAGCACGCUACUCAAAUACCAUGACGGCAUUGAGUGUGAUGGAACACUGGCUCCGAGUUAUGUCUGUUUGUCUGCGUUAUCUUGCAUCUUAUAAUCAAAAUGAGAACUCAUCACUACCCUCAUUUGCCUGUAAUACCAAGUGUUAGAGAAAACAUGAGGGCUUACAGAGAGCAGAGAUCUCAGGAGUGAUGUAAAUCUUCAUCAGACUUUCUUCUUUCUUUCUUUGUAAGAUAAAUGAUGUUUUUUGUUUUUAAGAUAACAUGUUUUGCCUUUUUCUGUUGAUUUUUGAAACCUCUCAGAGUAUCGGCUCAGACAUCAGGUCAAUCUUCCCAUUAUGUUGUGUUUCUGUCUGUGUGUUAGAUACAGACUAAGAAAAGUGAUGGAAACCCAUGAGAGUGCAAGGCAGAACUUAGAGAUAAUGCUGAUGGAGGAGUCAGUUUUCACUGACACAGGCCUCUUAGGUGCAUGUAAAGGGAACGGAGAAUGGGAAACGGACCAAUUAUGGGCUUGAACAACAUGUUUAAACACUUAUGCUCUACAUUACGCACUGUCAACUUGUGCAUCAUGGGCCAGAUACAGAGCCAGCCAAGCUUUUUCAGCAGACCGGACUGAGUACAUGGGAAAAAAAUACUGUUGUACAGCUGCUAAACACACUUUACCAACAAGCAUGUAUUAAUGUACAAUUUUUUUUUCAUUUCAUUUACCCUCUCUGGUCUGGUUAGUGAAACGACGACAUGGCUUGUUUAAAAAAAAAUAAAAAAUAAAUAAAUAAAAGAUGAUGAAAACUUUGAAACGUUUAAAGAUGAUUGGACAGAGAAGUAUGUGCUUAUUCUCCCCGUGUCAAAUUCCGAACAGAUGUGUUUUAUGAGUCUAUGGUGCAAGUUAAAAGUGGUAUGUGAGUGUUGGACAAAACAUAACCACUUCAAAUGAUCUUAUUAAUAGCCAUAAAAUAGUCAUUCAUGUUUAAGCAUUAAGAGUAUUAGUGGAAAUGUAGAGCUCUACAUCAU
ensembl:lncRNA